rnacentral:rRNA from 1 species
AUACGUAGGGGGCGAGCGUUGUCCGGAAUUACUGGGCGUAAAGGGUGCGUAGGCGGCCAAAUAAGUCAGAUGUGAAAGUCCAGGGCUUAACCGUGGAAUCGCAUUUGAAACUGUAUGGCUUGAGUGCAGGAGAGGAGAGUGGAAUUUCUAGUGUAGUGGUGAAAUGCGUAGAUAUUAGGAAGAACACCAGUGGCGAAGGCGGCUCUCUGGACUGUAACUGACGCUGAGGCACGAAAGCGUGGGGAGCGAACAGGAUUAGAUACCCUGGUAGUCCACGCCGUAAACGAUGAGUGCUAGGUGUCGGGAGUCAAAUCGCGGUGCCGGAGUAAACACAAUAAGCACUCCGCCUGGGGAGUACGGUCGCAAGACUUAA